rnacentral:rRNA from 1 species
CUACGGGGUGCAGCAGUGAGGAAUAUUGCACAAUGGAGGGAACUCUGAUGCAGCAACGCCGCGUGGAGGAUGACGCAUUUCGGUGUGUAAACUCCUUUUAUAUGUCAAGAAAAUGACGGUAGCAUAUGAAUAAGCACCGGCUAACUCCGUGCCAGCAGCCGCGGUAAUACGGAGGGUGCAAGCGUUACUCGGAAUCACUGGGCGUAAAGGACGCGUAGGCGGGAUAUCAAGUCAGGUGUGAAAUCCUACAGCUUAACUGUAGAACUGCACUUGAAACUUCUAAUCUAGAGUAUGGGAGGGGGAGAUGGAAUUAGUGGUGUAGGGGUAAAAUCCGUAGAUAUCACUAGGAAUACCUAAAGCGAAGGCGAUCUCCUGGAACAUUACUGACGCUAAGGCGUGAAAGCGUGGGGAGCAAACAGGAUUAGAUACCCCUGUAGUC